CCCCCCACCCCCCAUCUGAAAAAUCAGCCAGGAAAAUCGGGAAAAAAUUGCGACUCUGACCAGUCAUACAGCAAACGGCAAAGUGACAGUAAACAACGGAGGUACAACUACUUCUCUGCGUCUUCCUCUUUUUUGCCCUGCACAACUUUUCACCUGCAGUGCCCAUACUCGUCUCGGCUCCUUUAUCCCCCUUUUUGCGGAGUUUCAGAGAAAAGAUACAACUCCCCUUUCCUUUUACUGUUGAUAUCGAAAAGGAGCAAUCAAAAAUUCAAAAUUCAAUGGAUUUUCCCCCAAAAUCACCCCAACUUUCUUUACAGAUAGUUCUCUAUAUUCGAGACAAGGAGAAAGGCGAGAAAAGAAUCGUUGUUUUCAAGCCCGUUGAUGUCCCAAUUGCUGCCCAGAGAAAGGUAAAUGCUCCUCUCUCGAUAACAUCAUUUUGUCUCUUUUCCUAGUUCAAUGUGAUGUUUUCAAUGUCGGAAAGUCUUUAUUCUAUGGGUGUUUGUCGUUAGAUGCUACUCGAUUGGUGAUAAUAAUGUGAUACAUGUGUUCUUGAGCGAUGUUGUGGCUCAGUCUAACUAUCAGACUACAACUUUUACCAUUUUGCAGUUAGUAUUAUUGCUUCUAUAUUAUUUUGCUUGCUUAGAUCUGUUGCGCUAUUUAUCUGCUUAUCUGGAUGUGGUGAAAUCUCUGUCAUUAUGAGGUUUGUGUUAAUUUCCUUCAUAUGUGUUUUAUCCUCUCUUGAAUCUUGUGUUAGUAUUCUGUUGAUCAUUAGUGGGUUGCUUAACUCCCAGAGGCAUACUAAAAUAUGAUGGGAUCUCAUAGUGCGUUAUUGCAUUAAAUCAUCACUGUCUAUUGUUGAUACAUUAUAAGUACUCAUUACCCAUCAAGUUGCAAAGUAUUUGAAUUCUUGUUUUUACACUAAAAUUAGGAGUUGCCUUUCUUUUUUCUUUAUCAUAAAUGAUCCUAUAUGUCAUGUGAAUUUUGUUAUUGUAUAUGUGAUUGUCUGAUUGAUUAUGUCACAUGUUUUCCAUUUAAAUUUAUAUGUUAGGUAAAAAAAUCACUAUUAUCUUACCUAUUUGUGAUGCACAUAACUUUCAUCUUUAGUAAGUCUUGAUAGGUUGCUAACAUAUAAGUAUUAGUUUGAUGUUGCAAAGAGUUUUGCCUCUUUUUCUUUAUUUAUUUUUUCUCUUUCAUUUUCAUAUGUUCAUGAUGAGUUUGGGGUUGAUGUUUUGAGUUCAUCAUCUCAUGUUAAUUUACUCAUCCUUGCUUCAUUUGUGGUUAUUUUAUUCAAUUCUCCUUUAAUUACAAGUUUGAUUGCCCAUUAAUUUAGAAGCUUUUCUGGUAGUUUGUUGAUUUCUAAAAGAUGAAUUGUGAAUAUUAAGAGUCAUAUUUAGAUACACUAAAAAUGAUAGUUUUCCACUAUAGCUUUCAUGUCUUUGUGCCAUUUUGUUUAGCAACCAAUUCAUUUAGUUCACUGUUGACUUCUCUUUACAUCAUUUAGUUAAUAUUAUAUAUUUUCAUCUAGUCAAAAGGUUUUCUACAAUGACCUAUCCAAUUCUUAAAUAAUUGUCGCAAUUACAUCUCCUUUUGGAUACAAUAUUAACACCUUUUGUCUAGAAGCAUAUUAGUUUGAAAUUAUGUUCUUAUUUCAUAGAAUAAUGUGUUUAUCUUCAUCAUAAGUUAAUUAUUUGAUCAUGCGUUCGUUGGGGGCUCUUAUCUUUUUUUCUAAUUCUUUUCUUUUACGUACUCUGUGUGUAUGUGAAUCUCUUUCGAGUCCAUUGUGGACUUAUCUACCUUGCAAUUCUGAGUGGAGCCAUAAAGGCUCGAUCUCUGUCUUCCCUAUUUCUCGAGUCAACCCUUUAUGUAUUUCGAAGUUGUAAUAGGCCCUAGAGACCAACAUGCUAUUGGAAAUAAUUCAAAAGCCCAAGAAAUGAGUUGUAUACAUAAUAUAUACAAUAUGUAUACAGUGAUCAAUAGGUUCAGGACAACAUAUAUGUUGACAAAAACGAAGAUACAGGUUAGAGGCAUUAUAACAGACUGUAUACAGUUGAUAUACGGUUUGAUAUACAGGAAAAAGGCUUAGAAACGACCUGUAUAUAUCAGUAUACACUUGUUGUAUACAAAGGUUUUCAAAGGUUGAAAUAGGGCCAGAACCCAAAUUAGCAGCCUGAAAAGCCCAAGUCCAUAUUACCUCUUCAUUUAUUUGAUUGCAUUUAUUUAUUUGUUCUUUUACCCUUUAUUUGCUUCAUAAUAAUUUAAUCGAAUUUCCCAAAAAAAAAA